AAGGAUCAUUACUGAGUUAGGGUCUCUCUAGGCCCGACCUCCCAACCCUCGUGUCUACCUUACCUAUCGUUGCUUCGGUGGGACGGAUCCGUCCUCUGCGGACGGGCCUGCCGGAGGGGUGAACAAACCACCCCUUGGGAGAGCUUCCCACCGAUGGCCCACAACCAACUCUUGUACCAAAAACUUGUCGUCUAAAGCAUUGAUAUUUUAAUCAAAAACAAAACUUUCAACAACGGAUCUCUUGGUUCUG
rnacentral:misc_RNA from 1 species